CAAAUGACGUUUUCUGUCCAAAGAACUCGGCAAGUUUUUUGCAACGAUUCCCGAAAAGUGUCGACUGAUAUUUGUAAAACGACGCAAAGGGAAUUUGUAAUAAAUAAAUAUUGAAAUUUACUUAAAACGUAAUACAGAAUAUUCAGCAAGAACGAACCCGUUAAAAUUCGUGAAAAUUGGGAUUAGUGAGGCAUUUCAGAUUUUUAAAAAUUACGUGAAAAUAGCAAAGGCAGUAAGUACAAAAGAAAAAACCAAAGGGAAUCUGUGAAGAGUCUAGCAAGGAAUAUAAUAUUUCACCACAGUUGCUGAGUCGCCAUUUUGUCUACUGGCCGGCUGAUUUUGGUUUCGGUAUACGAAAAAAUUGCAAAUUUCUUAAAAAAUUGAAAUUAAAAAUAUAGUGACGGUUAAGUUAAAACAAAGAACAUAUAAUUAAAAUAAUCCGGACAUAAGUGUUCAAUAAAGAUUUGUUGAAUAGUUCAACCAGAGGGUGUUCGUAUAGUGGUAAAAAAUUUGCAAAAAUCAAGACAAAGCGGAAUCCGAGUGCAAUCCAAUGGUAAUUGGGCGGAUGCAGAAAUUGUUAAUGGAUUUAAGCUUAUUCCUGUUGAAUAUGUAAAUGAUCGAAGGUCUGCUGACCGAAAGCAACACCAUACAGUACUUCGUGUUUAGCAAAAGGUCAAGCGAAACGAUAGAGCAGAAAUUAAUAUUUAAAUUAACUAUAAUUCAAUUACAAAAGAAAGAAGCAAUAAUCAGAACGAGAAGUAACGACCGAGCCUAGAAUUAAAAUACGAGCUAGCAGUUUCUAACACGGCGUGGUGUAAUAGUUGCAUCAACAUUUACAUCGUGGAUCCUGAAUAGAGCAGUAGUUGCAUUUAAUAAUCAAAGUGCAGCAGUAUUAGUGCCUCUGAUAGCUACGAGAAAGAAAAUGACGUUCGAUACACGUGGACGCCAAACAGGUGGUGGUGGAGGCGGUGGUAGUACCGGUAACGAUAAUUCUAAUGUGGGUACGACCAACACAAACAGUAACCCAAAUACUACUAGUGGAACGUCUCUUGGUAAUUCUACCAGCGGAAAUGGCAGUGGUGGGGUUGUUGGCAGUGGAAAUGUAGAACAACCUCCGCCUUCUGCGGUUAAUUCGGAUGCAACUGCGCAGAGUGGCGAAUCGACAAACAACGCUGUAGUAGUGGACAACAUUUCACCAGAAAAAUUGAUUUUAUCGUUCCCCACUUUAAAAUUGCGUUCGUUAACGCAGAAGAUCUCAAAUCCACGUUGGGUGGUGCCAGUACUUCCUGAACAAGAGUUGGAAGUUCUACUUAAUGCUGCAAUUGCACUAACUUCAGCAGGGGUGGAUCAUGAUUGUGAGCCCUGUGUUGAAUUCUAUCGUAAUGCACUCACUACUUCUUUUUCAAAAAUCCUUACCGACGAGGCGGUGAAUUCAUGGAAGUACAAUAUACAUCAUUGCAUUUUAUUGUCGUGUGGCAAGUUAUUGCAUUUAAUUGCCAUACAUAUGCCGCGUGAUAAUCCCUAUCUAUUGGACUUGCUAGCUAUGGUAUUUGAUCCAGAAAAUAAGUUUAACACAUUUAAUGCAGCACGUCAACCAGGCUGUUUUGCCGCACCUGAAUUCCUUUGGGGCUCUUUGGAUGUAAAUAAUAUGUUUGCUAAACCACCACCGGAGCCAAAAAAUCCACGUGGUUGGCUAGUUGAUUUGAUCAAUCGUUUUGGUCAGCUGGGGGGUUUCGACAAUCUACUGGAACGAUUCAAUUGUGGCUUACAAUUGUUGAAAAAGACCCAAGAACAGAGUGGUAUCGAAGCGACAGGAUCUGGCAUAGAAUUAAGUAGCAAGACGAGCAAGUCGAUGCAAGCAUCAGAAGACAGUCAGGAUAACAAAUUGACGCUUGCGUUAAUUUUCAGUCUAUUACGCCCUUUCGGGCAGUGCUAUGAACUAUUAACACCGGCUACUAUUGCUAAGUACUUUAUGCCUAUUUGGAAUGUAGUAUUGGAUUUAUUAGAUAGCUUUUCGGAUGAUGAAUUAAAGCGUGAAGCGAAACCAGAAGGGCGGAAUGACUAUAUCAAUGGCAUUGUGAAGUCAGCCCGUUUGUUAGCAAGUCGUUUGCCGGGGCAAGAGGAUUUAAUUAGAGAUCUAGAAAUGUUUCGUCUCAAAAUGAUACUACGUCUGUUGCAAGUAUCCAGCUUCAAUGGAAAAAUGAAUGCGUUGAAUGAAAUCAAUAAGGUUCUAAGUUCUGUCUCAUAUUAUUCCCAUCGCACGCAACAGUUACAACACUGUCUACCAGAUGAUGAAAUGGAUUGGUUGACGGCAGAGCGCAUGGCUAACUGGAUUAAAGAAUCUGAUGUCCUCGGUAUUGUCCUGAAAGAUUCACUACAUCAACCCCAAUAUGUGGAGAAAUUGGAGAAGAUUAUACGCUUUUUGAUUAAGGAACAUGCACUGUCACUAGAGGACUUAGAUGCAGUUUGGCGUGCCCAGGCUGGCAAACAUGAGGCAAUUGUAAAGAACGUUCACGAUCUUUUGGCUAAAUUGGCUUGGGAUUUCACACCAGAGCAAUUAGAUCAUCUUUUCGAGUCGUUUCAGGCCAGCAUGACAACCGCUAAUAAACGUCAACGUGAGCGACUGCUUGAAUUGAUAAGACGCCUUGCCGAAGACGAUAAGAAUGGUGUUAUGGCGCAAAAAGUUUUGAAGCUUUUCUGGGCAUUGGCUCAUAGCCAAGAAAUUCCGCCAGAAGUCUUAGAUCAAGCCCUAGGUGCGCAUGUCAAAAUUUUAGACUACAGUUGCUCACAAGAACGUGAUGCCCAAAAAAUUGUCUGGUUAGAUAAAUGUGUACAGGAAUUGAAAACUGGCGAUAAUUGGGUAUUGCCCGCUUUGCGUUUAAUACGUGAAAUCUGUUGUCUCUACGAUUCAUCGUCCGGCCAUGCACAACGCACGCAGCAAACACUCAAUCGUCAACAAGUUAUCGAGCGUUUGCAAAAUGACUACACGUUGGUAAUACUAGUGACGAACAGUUUGACAACUUAUAUGGACAAAAUACGAACUAUGAUUGCUGAGAUGCCGAACGUGGAGCCAAACACUUUAUGCAUCGAUGGACGCUAUCCACAUAAUAUGCAAAUCCAAGAGCGCUUAGAUUUUCUAAAGUUUUUACUGAAAGAUGGGCAACUUUGGUUAUGUGCGGAACAGGCUAAGCAAAUAUGGCACUGUUUGGCCGUCAAUGCUGUGUUUCCAACUGAUCGUGAAGAAUGUUUUCGCUGGUUUGGCAAAUUAAUGGGUGAAGAACCCGACUUGGAUCCCGGCAUAAAUAAAGACUUUUUCGAAAACAACAUCCUUCAGUUAGAUCCACAAUUGCUAACGGAAAGUGGCAUUAAAUGUUUUGAGCGUUUCUUCAAGGCUGUCAACUCAAAGGAGGAUAAAUUGAAAGCAAUUCAUCGUGGCUAUAUACUUGAUAAUGAAGAUCUUAUUGGUAAGGAUUAUCUAUGGCGUGUAAUUACCACUGGUGGUGAGGAAAUCGCCAAUAAAGCUAUUGAUCUGCUGAAAGAAGUCUCAACCGCACUGGGGCCACGUCUGCAGGAGAGUAUUUGUGAUUUUCAUGAAAUGUUUAUUGCUGAAUGCUGUGAACGUCUGCGCACCCAUUACAGUAAUAUACUCAUUUUGGGCAAAACAAUUGGUAGCAAUAGUUCAAAUGAUCCCAGUCAAGCUGAUGCUGAUUCAAAAGAUAUUAAAGAUCGUUUUAUUGAGGCUGAGAAAAUGUGCCGUAUUAUAAAAGUAUUGCAAGAGUAUAUAAAAGAGUGUGAUCGAUCAUUUAAUGGCGAUCGUUACCUUUUGCCACUAAGUCGAGUGACACGCGGUAAGAAUACUAGUCUAUAUAUACGCUUUCAAAAUCCCGGGCGCCCUAUCGACGAUAUCGAAGUAGCGACACACAGUAACGAAACGGUCGCUUCGUUUAAACGUAAUUUAUUGAAACGUAUAAAAGGCAAUUCGCCAGCAAAUAUUAAGGUCGAUCUGUUCUACAAUACUGGCGAAUUAAUUGAGAUUAAUGACGAAAUCAAUCCACUAUACCAAUAUGGCAUACGCGAUAAAAUGAUUCUGACAGCAAAGUUGACACCAAUCGGACCGGGACUAGCUAGUAGCCCAGAUUCAUCAAGUGAUUCCAGUACCGGGUCACCGCCACGACCUUGCCCUGACAUGCAGCGCGUCGAGUCGGAGAGCACGCUGCCUGGUGUGAUUAUCGCGCAGAAUUACAAAUAUACGGAAUUUUUCCUAAAGCUCUAUCAACUGGGCAGCGAUCUGGAUCAUGGCCGUUUGCGUGAAAGCGCAAAAUCGUUGUUGCAUCUGCUACCGUGCGAUUGGCAUACCAUCAAGAUGCUGCAAACGAUGUGCCGCGUGCAGGGACAGGCUCCGAGCGGUGGCGGUGGUGUUAGUGGCAGUGGCAAUGUCAGUGUCAGUGUAAAUGUGAGUGCGGAGUCUAGUAGUGGCAACAGUGGUGGACAAAUUAGCGCUAAAGAGGAAGAGGCUGAUGUGGUUGGUGUGGGAAACGGCAGUGUUGUUGUACAAAAUGCAAGCGAUGAUCAGAUUCAUCUGCAGGAAUGCACGCCGGAAAUGAUAUUUUUGCAUGGCUCUCCUGCACAGGUGCUAUAUAAUUUGGGGGUUUUAAAUGGAUUACUUAUACCAGCAUUAGAUCCCUACGGUGAGGCUGCAAUGCAAGUGCAAUCGGCUUGGUUGCAUUCCGGUUGCGCACAUUUUAUACUAGAAUUGUUGACCAAAAACAAUUUCCUACCCAAUGCCGAUAUGCAUACCAAGCGUGCUGCCUUCCAUUGCGUACUUCAUCUCGCUCGAUUAUUCCUAUAUACGGUGGGCUAUGUGUUAUCCCGUGUCGGCGAUGAACCGAUGUUACGUGAUUUUGAUGUGGGUGCCCGUUCACAAGUUGAAAUACUUAAGCAAAUACUGAAUUCCAUACCAAACAACUCGGAAAGCACCAUGCGUGCCAUCUCUAUGAAACUGGCAGAAAAUUUGGCUGCUGAAAUGCUUUCUGCUAGUGCCGAGGGUGAACGUUGUCGCAUUUUAUUCAGCUCGACAUUGCAGUGGUCCUGCCCGGAUAUAACGACUAUUAAGGCUGUCAUACAAUUGGCUUGGUCCUCAUCUUGUGGCAACUUACAGGCACUUGGAAAUAAAAAUGACUUUGCUAACGACAUCACAAUGCCAGAUGCACAAGAUUUUGCCAUGUGUAAAGAGGCUCUAGAAGUGCUAACGAUUUCAUUGGUACUUAAUCCUAGUGCUAACGAGGUGUUAAACAAUGAUCCUGUAUGGCCUAAGUUUAUCACUUCGCUUAUAUUAAAGAAUCCAUCGCGCCACGUGCGUCAAAUUGCGGCCGAUCAGCUGUUUCUUUCGUGCACCUACUGCGCUGGCGAUCGACGCCCUUUUGCAUACAUGGUAAAUCUGUUAGUUAAUUCAUUGAAGACUUUGGUGCCACAAUACGAAGCGACAUGCGCCGAAUUCUUUCAAUUACUUUCUCGAACACUUUCGUAUGGCAGCGUCUGCAAUUGGCCGCUGAAUAUUGGUGAUGGUUUGUUGACUGAGGAGAUUAGUUGGUUGCAGAAGAUACGGCAAAAUGUUGUGAUUACUGGCGAUAUUCAAGUACAUGAGGAUCUGCUGGAAGGUCACUUGUGUUUGGCCAAAGAAUUGAUGUUCUUCUUAUCGCCCGAAACGAAAGCACAACUCACUGACUUGAUAGGUGAAAUCAUUGACAUUUUCCUCUUUCCGUCAUCACGCGAAUACCUUCACUUGCGAAAGUUCAACAAACUACGGAACCCAACAUCACCACCACCCGUUUGCCGCAGUCCACACACCAUAGCGGCGGCGUGUGAUUUUUUGAUAGCACUUUGCCAGAAUUGUGUUCCUAACAUGAAAUUGCUAACCAAUACUUUGAUCGAUUUUGUCUGCACAGAUACUGAGCCGCUGCGGGAAUGGGAUUUUCUACCUCCGGUUGGGCCUAGACCUGUGAAGGGUUUCUGUGGUUUAAAAAAUGCUGGUGCAACUUGCUAUAUGAAUUCGGUGUUGCAACAAUUGUAUAUGGUGCCAUCCAUACGUGUCGGCAUACUGAAGGCCGACGGUGCUGCUUUGAUUGAGAAUGAAGAUUUUAGCGGCGAAUCCGAUGUGGCUAGUAUUAACAGUGCGCUAUUCUCCAGCCCAACCAGCGGUGAAGAUAAUAGUAGCACAGAUGUGCGGAAAAACUAUCACGUUCUCAUAUUGAAAUAUGUACAAGCGAUAUUUGCCCAUUUGGGACAUAGCUCUCUGCAGUACUACGUGCCACGUGGUUUGUGGGCAUAUUUUAAAUUACAAGGUGAGCCGGUAAAUUUACGCGAACAACAAGAUGCGGUUGAAUUUUUCAUGUCCUUGUUUGAAAGUCUGGAUGAAGGUCUCAAGGCUCUAGGUCAUACCCAAUUGAUGAACGCUACUUUGGGUGGGUCAUUUAGCGAUCAAAAAAUUUGCCAGGAAUGCCCGCAUAGGUAUUCCAAAGAGGAACCUUUUAGUGUGUUUAGUGUGGAUAUUCGCAAUCAUAGUUCGUUGACAGAAUCGCUGGAGCAGUAUGUGAAAGGUGAACUGUUGGAGGGCGCUGAUGCAUACCACUGUGAUAAAUGUGAUAAAAAAGUAGUUACAAUUAAGCGGUUGUGUGUAAGAAAGCUUCCGCCGGUGUUAGCCAUUCAAUUAAAACGUUUUGAAUAUGAUUAUGAGCGUGUUUGCGCCAUUAAAUUCAAUGAUUACUUUGAGUUUCCACGUGUGCUCGACAUGGAACCCUACACCGUCUCCGGCUUAGCAAAACUGGAGGGUGAAGUUAUUGAGGUGGGUGAUAACUGCCAAUCAAAUGGCGAGACGACCAAAUAUGAGUUAAGCGGUAUUGUGGUACACAGCGGACAGGCUUCUGGUGGCCAUUACUUUAGUUACAUACUUUCUAAAAAUCCCUCUACUGGUAAGGAACAAUGGUAUAAAUUCGACGAUGGCGAAGUGACUGAAUGUAAAAUGCAUGAAGACGAAGAAUUAAAAGCCCAAUGCUUUGGUGGCGAUUAUAUGGGUGAGAUUUACGAUAACAAUUUGAAGCGCAUGCAAUAUAGACGUCAAAAGCGCUGGUGGAAUGCAUAUAUGCUCUUCUAUACACGUUGUGAUCAGAAACCCAUACAAUUCGAUCCUUGUGUAGAACAGUUGUCACUGGCUGAGAGUCGUAAUUUCGUGUUGCCUCUACCAAAGGCGAUCGAACGUAGUGUACGGCAUCAAAAUAUUCGGUUUUUACACUCAAAGAGCAUUUUCUCAGCAGAAUUUUUUAAUUUCAUUAAGAAGUUAGUCAGCUGUACUAUACCUUCAACACGUCCUGACAAAAUGACACCAGCUGCCGAGGAGCUCUCAUUACUAGGCGUACAACUAGCAUCACAGUUCUUAUUCCAUACAGGUUUUCGAACGAAAAAGUCGCUACGCGGACCGGUUAUCGAGUGGUACGACACACUAUCACAUCACAUACGUUUCUCAGCUUUAGUGCGCAAAUGGUUCGCUGCCAAUGCACUUCUUAAUCCAGCUACACGUCUGGGUGAAUAUAUCUUGAUGGCUCCCUCGCCUGAGGUACGAACAGUUUUUGUGAAAUUGGUGGUUUUCUUUUGUCACUUUGCCAUAACCGACGAGCCGCUGGCUGGCUACGAAGGCAGUAAUUUAUGUGAACAGAUUUUAAUAAGCGUUUUAGAGUUAUUGAAAUGUGAAGCUGUCGAUUAUGGCAAACAUUUGCCUCAUUAUUUUAGUUUAUUCAGUAUGUAUGUGGGCUUGGGCAUACCAGAAAAGCAACAACUGUUGAAGUUAAAUGUACCCUUCAUAUUCAUGCAAGUUGCUUUGGAUGAAGGACCUGGUCCAUCGAUAAAAUAUCAGUAUCCAGAACUGAGUAAACUUCAUCAGGUCGUUUCGCAUUUAAUACGUUGCAGCGAUAUAUCUGACAAGUGUCAGAAUUCAAACCAAAAUUCACAGCCACUGGAGAAUCCGUUCAAAGAUGCAAAUAUUCGGCGCGAAGAAUUAGUGCCCUUAUCGCCUGAGUGUGCAGAUAUACUCUUUAACCGAACGGGAUACAUUAAGAAAUUAAUAGAGGACACAGCCGUUGGUGAGGAGGGCAUUAAAUUACUUCAGUAUUGCAGUUGGGAAAACCCACAUUUUUCACGUGCGGUAUUAACCGAACUACUUUGGCAAUGCGGUUUCGCUUACUGUCAUGAUAUGCGCCAUCAUACCGAACUACUUUUGCACAUAUUGCUUAUAGAAGAUUCGUGGCAACAUCAUCGCAUACACAAUGCCCUCAACGGUGUGGCGGAGGAGCGCGAAGGUCUGCUAGAGACGAUACAGCGCACAAAGACGCAUUACCAAAAACGCGCAUACCAAAUAAUCAAAUGCCUUACACAACUAUUCCACAAAUCCCAAGUGGCCCUACAGAUGCUUAAUUCAAACGCCAGUAUUGCACGGCAUUGGACCAUGGCUGUAGAAUGGUUGCAAGAUGAAUUGGAGAGGCAACGUAGUUGUCAAUAUAAUUCAUAUUCGUGGUCACCACCUGCACAGAGUAAUGACAACACAAAUGGUUACAUGCUCGAACGUUCACAAUCCGCUAAGAAUACAUGGUCUAUGGCGUAUGAGUUAUGUCCCGAAGAGGAACAAGAAGAGACCAACGAGUCGGAUAUCGAGCCUACUGACGAGUCCCAGAGGCAGCAACAACAGCAACAACAACAACAGCAAUCACAACAAAUUACACAAUCGUUACAAGCACCAACAGCUGUUGGCGAUGCGUUAACGAGUGAUACAGUACCAGCUAGUCCAGCGCACAAACCGUUUAUAGUGGGCAUGGCACCAGUUGGCAGUAGCUCCGUUAAUUGGUCGGCUGCAAAUACAUUUUCGGCUGAUAGUACAACAACAACAAUAACUACAACAACUGCCUCUACUAAUAGCGGUGGUGUUUUGACGGCCGUAAAUAGCACCGAACAACAGCAAGCCACUACAGAUGCGAGUAUAAACGGUUUAACGGCCAAUGUUAAACAAUUGGCGCUUUCUCCAAAAACGGUAAUUCCCCCCUAAAAGUCGACAGUAGCAUUUCUAAUGUACUCGUACACUCCUAAGCAUACCAGAGCAGCGGUCCACCAGCGGCGGCAUUGGUGAGACGACAACGACAAUGAUGCCUGCUCCAGACAUCGAAAUCUCGUUGAAAGUAAUGCCACAUCACCUACAGCAUCAGCAGCAGCAACC
rnacentral:misc_RNA from 1 species